GUAGGGCAGUGUUGAGUUUUCAGAAGGCAAGUGUAUUUGCUAGAAGAGUGAGCUGGGAGGUGUGAACCACAUCGUCACAUCUGCUGUAAGCCUAGCCAUUCAUAAUACGGAGUUACAGUUAGGACACGUCGCAUUGAAGAGCUACCAUCGAAUGUGCGCUCAUCAAAUGCCUGGCAGCGUCCUCGGUGCUUCACCUGCCAUAGCCGACUGUGGCUGACCUCCCAUGCCUGUUGCCUUUUCUUUCUGUUGGAUCAGGGAUACACUGCCAUGUGUGUUAAGAAAAGCUGGCCUUACCUACAGGGCUGGCCAGUCCCGGUCACAUUUCUAGUAAGCCAUUGCCUUACAUAAGGGUAACGGCAUGGGACGCUAUCUUAGCCAAUGUGAUAAAAGUGGACAUGAGGUGAGAGGCUUCAGAGAGAGGUUUUAAAAAAGAGACAAAAGCAGGACGUUGCCUCUCUUCCUCCUCUCCAUGUGUCCUACCCGGAUGUGAAGCCAAAACAGAUGCAGGCUUACUGCAACCAUGGGGAACCCAGCAUAAGCACAGAUUCAACAGCAGAAGAGUGGCAGAGGGAGAAGGUGAAAGGAACCUAGGUUUUCCUGUCCUUGUUGAGUCAUUCAAUUAAAAAUCCCUGGAAUUUUCCUCUCUCUGGCAGUGUGUUUUGUGGGAUAAUGAGUUGCCUUAUUGGGGUUGGCUUGCUAAUCGGGAUGUUUCGCUCCCAUCAACAUCCAUACGCUUGCUCUGUGAACCAAUGACCUGAUGAGGUAGUAUUAGCACCACCAUCAUUAUGCUGAGGAUGAGAUUUAUGGCACAGUGGUUCAGUAGCUUGCCCAAGGCCAUGCGGCUGGUAGGUUCUGGAGGAGGGCUCAGGGCACCCCCUGAGCUACCCCUGCUGGCCAUUGCACCACCCCAUAAAGCUGCUGGCAGUCACUUCUCUGAGGGGUUAGCAUGUAAGAAAUGUCCUCCUGAAUGCUGGCCAGACAAAUGGAAAUCUGCCAGGGUUGGGUACCCCCAUGACAGCAGCCAGCCUGCCCUCUUAGUCCCUGACAGCUGCAGUGACAGCAUCUGUGAUUGCAAAGCGUGACAAUUUAUAUCUCUCAUUUCAUCACACCAUCUAUCAGCAGACAGUCAGGCUUUAAAAAUCAAUCCCACACUGACUCAGUCCCCAGCAGAGAUGGCCUCUGACAACAGUAUCCACACUGCAGGCUGGACAAGGGCCCUAUUAAUUUUGAGACUCAGCCAAAUUUCCUUCUGACCCUAAGCUGGUGAAUCCCUGCUCCUUUGCUUUGGUUGGGGUUGGUGUGAGCUAAGGCUGUGAUCCCAUUUGUUCCUAUGGCCUCCAGGUGGCCUGGGCCUCCAUGAAUGGGCCACAUGGUCAUACUGAAUGCUUGAUUACACUCAGACCUAGCAGUCGUCUGGGCGCAGCUGGUUUAUGGAUCACUUUGUCACAAUGUUCCAUCCUUCCAGGUCCCCAUCCCCGCGGUGGGAAAACAUUGCUUUAGGCAGUGCUAGAGGACUUCAGCAGGCAUUGGCAGCUUCUGGAUUCAGGAUUAGAACCAAGAAGGAGGAGUCACAGCAAAGAUAGGAACAGAAGGCAGAGAGAACAGACAGAUGGGGGUGUUUGAGAAGGAGGGCCUUUGAGACCUCAGGGAGUGGGAGACACUGGCUCGAGAAUAAUAAUAAUGGCAAUUUCUCUCAUCUGUGUUUUCAGGGCAUGGACUGGAACUCCCAAUACCCCUGACAUGGGCUGAGUCAACGUGGUCACGAACAUGUGACAGGAGGCAGCAGAAGUUGCAGAGAAGAGUGAGGCACGUUUGAAAAAGGCUGAAAAAUGUUUCUGUCCAGGCAAGGGUGUGUGCUGAACGACUCAAGGAUUUUUUGGGUAUGUCAUUUCCCAUUUCUCACCCCCAAAUAGGACUCCACUUCCCAUCUAAGCAUUUGUAUAAAUAUUGAUUAUUGGUUAGUGUGUAUCAGAGUCCUAUUGAGUAAAAAUUAUAUGAGA
rnacentral:lncRNA from 1 species